GAAGGUGUAGCUCAGUGGCAGAGCACAUGCCUAGCAUGCACGAGGUCCUGGGUUCAAUCCCCAGUACCUACA
rnacentral:tRNA from 1 species